UAAGGUGACUGCCGGCUAAAAGUCGGAGGAAGUGGGGAUGACGUCAAAUCAUCAUGCCCUUAUGACCUGGGCUACACACGUGCUACAAUGGCGGUACAAAGGGUCGCGAACCCGCGAGGGGGAGCCAAUCCCAAAAAGCCGCUCUCAGUUCGGAUUGCAGGCUGCAACUCGCCUGCAUGAAGCCGGAAUCGCUAGUAAUCGCGGAUCAGCAUGCCGCGGUGAAUACGUUCCCGGGCCUU
rnacentral:rRNA from 1 species